rnacentral:rRNA from 1 species
CACGGGGGGUGCAAGCGUUAUUCGGAAUUAUUGGGCGUAAAGGGCGCGCAGGCGGAGGUUCAGGUCAGAUGUGAAAGCCCGGGGCUCACCCCCGGAAGUGCAUUUGAAACCGAAUUUCUUGAAUAUGGUAGAGGGUAGUGGAAUUCCUGGUGUAGAGGUGAAAUUCGUAGAUAUCAGGAGGAACACCGGUGGCGAAGGCGACUACCUGGGCCAAUAUUGACGCUGAGGCGCGAAGGCGUGGGUAGCAAACAGG